rnacentral:rRNA from 1 species
AGUUCGGAUUGCAGGCUGCAACUCGCCUGCAUGAAGCUGGAAUUGCUAGUAAUCGCGGAUCAGCAAGCAGCGGUGAAUACGUUCCCGGGCCUUGUACACACCGCCCGUCACACCAUGAGAGUCGGGAACACCCGAAGUCCGUAGUCUAACCGCAAGGGGGGCGCGGCCGAAGGUGGGUCCGGUAAUUGGGGUGAAGUCGUAACAAGGUACC